GCCGGGCGUGGUGGCGCAUGCCUGUAAUCCCAGCUACUCAGGAGGCUGAGGCAGGAGAAUCUCUUGAAACUGGGAGGCAGAGGUUGCAGUGAGCUGAGAUCACGCCACUGCACUCCAGCCUGGGCGACAGAGUGAGACCCUGUCUCAA
rnacentral:sRNA from 1 species